GAAGGGGCUAGGGGAAGCUUCCGGCUAGAGCAGCGUUGCUGGUUUCGCACGUGUGUUUCCCCUUCGGGAUUCCCGGAUUACCCCUGCCCCUGGUGAAUUUAUCGGGCCUGGGUUCCCCUGCAGAUUUAAAGAUGAAGGUGAGAAGAAAUAAAAAACAGGUCCCAAGCUUUCGGAAGUUGCUAAAAACUAGUAAAGUCAAACUUGAAAACAAGCUAAAAAACAAACAAUUUAAACAACAAAGCACUAUCAAGAAGUACCGAAAAGAACAGAGGAAACUAAGACAAGCUGUAAAAGAUGCUGUGUCUAAGAAACCUAUUCCACUGGAGGACCCAAAGGAAAAACGACCAGGUAAAAGGAUUGAGAGGGAAGAGGAAGAAGAGGAGGAAGCCCUUCCUUUAGAUAUGAUGGAUGAAGAUGACUUACAGUUAAUGAAGGAUUUAGGGCAAAGAGCAUCUUUUCUAACGAGAGAUCUUUCUUCUAGUGAGCCUGUUCACGCCAGGAAGCGGAAGCAUGAGCGUGUUAUAGAUAAAUAUGAAAAAAUACCAAGAACUCUGCAAACUGCACCAGAGAAGGAACUGAUUCACUUACUUCCUAUUAAAGAUAAAAGUGGUAUAAUCCCACAGACCAGAGAGAAACCAGUUAUUGACAGUAACCAAGAUGAAGAGGAUCAAGAGAUGGAACCUGAAGAAGAGAUCAUUGAAGAACCCAUUAAAGAGCUGACAUUAGAAGAACAUUUAAUUGAGAGGAAGAAGAAACUACAGGAGAAGAAAAUGCGUAUCGCAGCCUUGGCAUCUGCCAUAUUAUCAGAUCCAGAAAGUAAUAUAAAAAAAUUGAAAGAAUUACGUUCCAUGCUGAUGGAACAGGAUCCUGACGUGGCUGUUACUGUUCGAAAGCUGGUGAUAGUUUCUCUGAUGGAGUUAUUUAAAGACAUUACUCCUUCUUAUAAAAUACGACCCCUAACAGAGGCAGAAAAAUCUACCAAGAUCCGCAAAGAAACCCAAAAGUUAAGAGAAUUUGAAGAAGGCCUGGUUAGCCAAUAUAAAUUUUACUUGGAAAAUCUGGAGCAAAUGGUUAAAGACUGGAAGCAAAGGAAGCUGAAGAAAAGUAACGUGGUUUCCUUAAAGGCCUACAGGGGACUGGCAGCGGUGGCUGUGAAGAGCCUGUGUGAGCUGCUGGUGGCCCUGCCUCAUUUCAACUUUCACAACAACAUCAUUGUACUGAUUGUUCCUCUCAUGAAUGACAUGUCAACAUCGAUAUCUGAAAUGUGUUGUGAAGCAGUAAAGAAACUCUUUAAACAAGAUAAAUUAGGCCAAGCAUCACUGGGUGUAAUUAAAGUGAUUUCUGGUUUUGUGAAAGGCAGAAAUUAUGAAGUUAGGCCAGAGAUGUUAAAAACAUUCUUGUGCUUAAGGAUCAAAGAAGUAGAAGUGAAAAAAGAUACAGAGGAUAUUAAUAAACAAAAAAAGUUCAUGACUUUCAAGGAAAAGAGAAAAACUCUAUCAAGAAUGCAGAGAAAGUGGAAGAAAGCAGAAGAGAAACUAGAGAGAGAGCUUCGGGAGGCAGAAGCUUCGGAGAGUACUGAGAAAAAACUUAAACUGCACACGGAGACUCUGAAUAUCGUGUUUGUGACCUACUUCAGAAUAUUGAAGAAGGCCCAGAGGUCACCUCUCCUGCCAGCAGUUCUGGAAGGUCUUGCCAAGUUUGCUCACCUUAUAAAUGUGGAGUUUUUUGAUGAUUUAUUAGUAGUUCUACAUUCUCUCAUUGAGUCUGGUGACCUAAGCUAUCAAGAAAGUCUUCACUGUGUCCAGACUGCUUUUCAUGUUCUUUCUGGGCAAGGUGAUGUUCUGAAUAUUGAUCCAAUGAAAUUCUAUACACAUCUUUACAAAACACUGUUCAAGUUACAUGCAGGUGCUACGAAUGAAGGUGUUGAGAUCGUCCUCCAGUGCCUUGACGUCAUGCUGACUAAGCGCAGAAAGCAAGUUUCUCAGCAGCGGGCCCUUGCCUUCAUCAAGCGCCUUUGUACCCUUGCUCUUCACGUGCUUCCAAAUUCAAGCAUUGGCAUUUUAGCAACUAACAGAAUAUUAAUGCAUACUUUCCCCAAAACAGAUCUGUUGCUUGACAAUGAAUCUCAGGGUAGUGGAGUUUUCCUUCCUGAGCUGGAUGAACCUGAGUACUGCAAUGCUCAGAACACUGCUCUUUGGGAAUUGCAUGCACUGAGGCGACAUUACCAUCCUAUAGUGCAGAGAUUUGCAGCUCACCUCAUCGCUGGAGCCCCUUCCGAAGGCUCAGAGGCACUCAAACCAGAGUUGAGCCGAAGAUCUGCUGCAGAACUUUUUGAGGCUUAUAGCAUGGCAGCAAUGACAUUCAAUCCUCCUGUUGAAUCUUCAAAUUCCAGAAGGAAGGAUAAAGUGUUACAAGGGGAUUCAUUUUUAAGUGAAGAGAUAAGUCAGCUAAUCAAAAGACAUUGUAGUGAAGUUACCACUCAGUUGCCUCUGGAUUUCACCAAAUAUUUGGAAACAUCACUACGCUUAAGGAUGAAUUUUCCUGCACCUUUCCACCUGCUUUGAGCUUGAAAAACACACUCCUGAUCCAAAAGGACACGCUGGGAGGACUUCGGGGUAGAAGACUUCCUGUUGGCAAUGUCUUUCACCACCUCUUCCAAAAGCACGUAAUCACCCGGGUUCGGGUUGCUCAAGAUGCUAUAGGAAUAUUUGGCUUUGCAUAAGGUCUGAAACACAAGUUAUGAUCAACUGAAUAAAGACACACUAUCUCCAACACCUGCUUCACUGUAGAUGAGACUUUGAGGUGGGAAAAUAUCAGACUUUAAGAGAUGGAGGGGGUCUUUCAGAUCAUGUCAUCCCACUUCUCAUUAUACCUUGUCAUAGUUGUAGCUAGCUUAUAGGAACUUCCCCACAUUGCCUCAUUUAGCUUCACAACCGUCCAUGAUUUAGGUGUUACUAUGCCCAUUUUCCAGACAAGGAAGUUUAAGCAUACAGAGGUCAGGCAGAUUCCAGUGGAUGCACAGCUAGUAAGUAACAGAAAAAGGACUUGAACUGGAUUUUCUGCAUCCACCAAAGCUGGUAGAGACGGAAGGUCAUGCAGACAGUGAGAGACAGAAGCUUGACCCUCAGGAGCCUCUCUGUCCCACGAGGCUCCCUCUUCAUCUCAGAGUCUUGGAUGUUAGAACUUACCUGGUCUCACUUCUCAUUUAGUACAAGAUUAUCUUUCAUUUAUGCAUUUAUUCACUCAUCACAUGUUUAGUGAGGGCUUACUAUGUCCCAGAUACUGUAUAUAGUUUGGGGAGUUCCAGGUCUAUUAAGGAGGCUAAUAUUAACCAAACUAUCAUGCAAUAAGAAUAGCAAAUAGCACUUAAGUAGUGUUUGCCAUGUCCUAGGUGUUGUAAUAGGCGAAUGUGCUUUACAUAUAUUUAUUUAAUCUUCACAAUACCUCUUUAAGGAAAGUGCUAAUGUACCAUCUCCAUGUUAUCUGCAUGGUAGCUUAGCACAUGGUGUUGUGCUGGAGUCCACUGGCAUCAGAUGUGGUGGGAGGAGUUACAAGAUAGAAACUGGCAAAUGCUACAAAAUCAGGGCUUUUUUUUUUUUGAAGAGAGCCAGUUUACCAGCACUCCAGUGUAACUAAGGCACAGAUGGUUCAAUAACUUGUCCAAGCUCUCAGAGCUAGUAGGAAGUAGAGCUGGGAUUUGCACCUGGAGCAAUCUGAUCUAGAGUCUGUUAACUGUUAUGCUGUCUUCUCAAGUGAGUGUUUAAUAAACGCAAACCAUAACAGGGCUUCAAAAGAAGGAAACAGAGUUCUGUGAAGCCAUGUACACAGAGAAGCAUGACCAGAGGAGGGGAGAGGGUCAGAGGAGGCCUCCUGCAUGUCCUCUGCAGGAUCUCUGAGAGAUGGCCAUUAAGUAUUGGCUUAGGCCUUUCUGGGAUGAUGACGUUCCCGCUCUGCAGAGCCACCUUCUAGAUCCAUUAUCGAGGCUUCAGAGAGAGCCUGACUCACAGUAGAUACUGGGCAAGUAUCGUUGAAGGAAUCAGUAUUUCCCAGCCUUAAGAGGCACGCUGUCCCUUGUCAGGUCCCCUUUGUUCUAGAACCUCAUUCACAAAGGGAGCUGAAAUCUGAUUUGUCCCAAUAGUUCACACUGAGGACAGGACUGAGGUGAGGAAGGGGAGGGCUUCACCUGCUGAAUGACGUCCUGCGCGGUGCUGACGCGGGGUGCCUUGAUGACCGUUCGCGGUUGCUCUGGAGAAACGUCAUGCACUUGGACAAAGAAACUCUCCUCCUCUGAGCUCAAGAUCAUCUCCUUGUCAUCUUGAACGAUGCUCUUCUCUUCCAGGUUCUAUGUUAAAAAAGAAGAAAAGUCUGAGUAGAUGGUAAGAUGAUGUAGAAUAAGGAAAGAAAAACCUAGCAAAAAUUUGACAUGGAUCUUGGUAAUGUGGAAGCAACUUCUUAGCUUUAUAUUCCAUACGCUAGUUACUACUUCAUAAACUAUUCUAAAAGGAUACACAUCUCUUCUUAGAGGAGGAAAGUACUGUAAGUUUCUGCUGAUGUUGACACACUGAUAAGGUUUGGUCCAGAACAAGCCAGUAGAUCUGCUCCUAUUAGCUGUGGGUUUUGAGUCCAAAUCAGCUAGAGAUAAAUUUGUAAAAAGACAAUAUGCCAUUUUGCCAAUUACUAAACGCCAAAUAAGAACAAUAAAUACAUUUAAGAGAAAUCUUCCCAUUCCCCCACAGACCUUGAGCACUUAAGAAAUGCUAGACAUCUGAAACGUGAAACAUGCAAAAUCGGCAUUCAGGCGGGCUGGAUGAACAAAACCCACAGUGGAAAGGCUAAAACAAUGACUGGAACAGGUGUCAGAGGAGAGCAUAUUGACCAUAAGAAGAUACCUAACAGCUUGGGAGCCCAGAAGACAAGAAAAUCAUACAAAGCAGGCAGGCAAGAUCAGAGAGGCUAAACUUGAAGUGAGUCACCAGAGAAGGCUGCCACCAUCCGGCUUAGAUUGAGCAAACGUUCUUCUCUUCAGGCAUCCCCCCCACCGGCCCCCAACAAUGAUGCAAGGACUCGAGUCAGCACUUGGCACUGCUGCAUCUCACUUGGAGAAGCAGAAUGAACUGGGGAUGGGGUGGGGGAGAAGAUUCUCAAGAAGACCCUGCUCCCCUUACCCCAGCCCCUGGUCUGUGGUCGAUGCUGGGCUGUGGAUUGUGUGGGGCAAGGCAGCUACUACUACAACAAUAAUUCAGGGCACGAAGCUUCCAGGAGCAGGUCAGUUGACACUGUUAGCUCCAUGAUAGGGCCAGCGUCACUCCCUCCCCAGUCCUGCUUUAUAGCCCUGUGAUUACUCACGUAGGGUGACAGUAAUAUGCUACUUUUUAUGGGUGGUCCGUGGAAAUGUUUCCUUACUUUACAUCAUCGUAUUUUAUAACGUCUCCAAAACCCCAACAGUGCUUUGUGAUAGUAGACACCAAAGUUCAUGGACGGACUGAUUUAAAAAACAAAGCCCCCCAAACCCCUUGGUAGUAGCUUCUGUUUGAUAAUCUGUGAAAUCUGACUCGAGCUGCUUUCUCUGACUUUAAGUCCGUUGUAAAAUGUUGGGCAAAAUGUUAACCUGUGCAUAGAGAUUCCCCUCAAAGGAGAACUGUUUAUUAACUACAGGCUCAGUGAACUUACUUGUUGGAGAAGCUGCUUUGCCUUGGUGCCUCCAUUUAUGGAGAAAACAGCAAAGGGCUCUGGACCUGGGACCCCAUGUACUGUGACUCUGUGAAUCUGCAAACAUUUUCUUUCUUCUGUAUU